GUGGGGAAUAUUGGACAAUGGGGGGAACCCUGAUCCAGCCAUGCCGCGUGUGUGAAGAAGGCCUUUUGGUUGUAAAGCACUUUAAGCGAGGAGGAGGCUACCGAGAUUAAUACUCUUGGAUAGUGGACGUUACUCGCAGAAUAAGCACCGGCUAACUCUGUGCCAGCAGCCGCGGUAAUACAGAGGGUGCAAGCGUUAAUCGGAUUUACUGGGCGUAAAGCGCGCGUAGGUGGCCAAUUAAGUCAAAUGUGAAAUCCCCGAGCUUAACUUGGGAAUUGCAUUCGCUACUGGUUGGCUAGAGUAUGGGAGAGGAUGGUAGAAUUCCAGGUGUAGCGGUGAAAUGCGUAGAGAUCUGGAGGAAUACCGAUGGCGAAGGCAGCCAUCUGGCCUAAUACUGACACUGAGGUGCGAAAGCAUGGGGAGCAAACAGGAUUAGAUACCCUAGUAGUCC
rnacentral:rRNA from 1 species